UACGAAGGUGGCAAGCGUUGUUCGGAUUUACUGGGCGUACAGGGAGCGUAGGCGGUUGGAUAAGCCCUCCGUGAAAUCUCCAGGCUUAACCUGGAAAGUGCAGAGGGGACUGUUCAGCUAGAGGAUGGGAGAGGAGCGCGGAAUUCCCGGUGUAGCGGUGAAAUGCGUAGAGAUCGGGAGGAAGGCCGGUGGCGAAGGCGGCGCUCUGGAACAUUUCUGACGCUGAGGCUCGAAGGCCAGGGGAGCAAACGGG
rnacentral:rRNA from 1 species